rnacentral:lncRNA from 1 species
GGCGCUGAACAAAUUCUGCUGAUCUUGGGUACUACCCACUUGCACUUCUGAUAGUAUGGGUCCCAGCUGGAAAUGGAGUAAGGUCGCAGCAAGGACUGUAUUUAUGAUACGCCAGGAUGUACAUUGCACUCUUUACAGAGGGACAGCCAGACAAAUGGAGAUGCAUGGCCUGCUGGAUAGGGGUCUGGCUUAUUGGGGAAGAAGCAUAUUCCGGAAGGACCAAGGUACUGCCUCCAGAUUCCUGCCUUGGCUUUCCUUGAUCAUGGAUUGUUACCUGUGUUCAGGAUGUUGGGUAGUUUGGUAAGCUGGCCCCUGCCUGUGGAGGCCACGUCUGUUAGCCAUCUGGAAUGGUGGCACAGGCGUGACACUCUGCGGCAGCCUCAGGGCCACACUGAGCUACGACUGCAGCUUCUGGCACUGUUUCUGUCAUAAAGGAGGAGACAACGGCUUCUGGGUGAACAUGGGAGAGCGGGGCCUAAAACUGAGGAGGAGGUCUAAAGUCUCAUGCAGUAGUCAACUUUAUUCAGGAGUUGGUUAUUUCUGUGCAUCUGGUGAUCUACGUGAAAAUUGUUCUCCAUCUUCAAAAUGAACUCAAAGCUAUAUGUGAAAUAGAGUCUCCUGGGCAAAGCAUCAGCUCUAUUUUAUACCAUGUGGAGUCACAGGUUGUGACCUCAUCCACCUUGUCUAUACUCCUAGAAGGGAACAAAAGGGGGAGCAGCCUGUGUUCAGAUGGGAGCCUACAUCAAUUUGGCGGCUGUAGAGACAGAUACCAGACAGCCAAGGCAGAGGGAACUGGCAUGAGGCUAGGUAUGGACAGCUAUGUGGAGCGCAGAAGCAGAUGUAAGAUCAUACCUGUGAAGACAGGAAGGAGGCAGCAGAGAGCUGAGAACCAAGGUGUUAUUAUGGAGACAUUCCUGACCUUCACUUGUGCCUCUGUGGCUGUCAUAGUAGAAAUGAAGCAGCCCUCUUGGACUGAACAACUCACUGGCAUCCCAGAGGCUUCCAACAGAGGGCAACAGGGGUUGACUCAUUGUGGGACUUCAAGAAAAUGCUUAUACGAUCAACAGGGAAUGAUGGGACUCAGUCUGCGGUGUGAGAAGCAGGUUCUGCAGGUGUUCUCUCCAAGCCCACACCUCUGGAAAGUAGGACACUGUGAGAACUGAGAGGAGGCUGGCUUGCCACGGCGCAGAGAAAGGGAGUAUUCAAGGUCGCUUGCGGGAGACGCAUUGACUCACUCCUAGGUGAUCUUUCAGGGGAUUGGGUGAGGAAGGCCCAGCUUCCUGGCCUCCCUGGUACCACUCUUAGCAGGUUACCCUACCCCAUUGAUGACACCAACCCCCAGAGUCUGUUCAUGUCCUUUCCGCCCUGUGCCAAUCCCUGGGUGGUUUUGGCCUCUCCCUGGUAAGUGCUCCAUCUUUGCCCAGAGCUCUGUUUUCUCUUCAGAUCUCCCAGGCUGUACCCACUGCUCCCCAAGGCCUCUGUGCUGUACCCUGGUGGAGAUUCACAGACCACCCAAAACCUGCAGCCUGGGCCAUUCCCAACUUUCUCCCCUGCUUCUGUAUUCGGUCUCUGGAAGCCUAACUCCUUUCCACCAGGCCUCGACCACUGCCCGUGGCACCUGCACCUCAUCCUCUGGUCUUCCACAGCCAGGUCCCAGGCUUCAGGUUUUGCUCAUCGCCGUGACACUUUAGGAACCACAUUUUAUCCAUUCUCCAAACUGUCCCAGGCAAGCCAGUGGACAUCAGUCACGCCCUGUGUGACAGGUGCUGUGAAGGCGAGAUUGUGAACCUCCACAGGAGUGGCAUCCCUCACGCACAGAAGGAGGGCGGAGGCUUGGCUGCUGGGAGCACCGUCUCUCUGUCUCUGUGGAUGGAGCUGAGCUCUGUGGACAGUUGGACAUCCGCCUGAGGCUGCACACGUCUGCGUCUGGACUCUGCCAGCUUCCCGCUGCGGAGAGCAGCUGCCCGGCUCCUGCUCUUAGAUGUCCUGUCAUCUCAGUGAAAGGAGUGGGUGGAGGUGGACCAGGGACACAGCAGUGGACAUGUGGAGUGCAUCUUCUCUUCUUUGGCCUCAGUGCGACUCAUCCUGCAGCUCUGCAUACUACAGGUCCUGUUGCCAUGACUCCCCACCAUGAUGGACUGCACCCUUGAAGGUAUUAGAAGACCUUCAUCUUCUUUGGGGCAUAAAGCAACAAGUGCAACUUUGUUUCUGAUUCAUCUCCCCACAUCAGCAAGAGAACAAUCAUCAGUAUUUACUAUGUACCAGGCUCUAAUCUGGGGACUCGAAAGCUGACACACUGACAGGCAUCCAUCACACUACCUACAUUCUCCACACCAGCAAGGGUCUGCCUUAAUGGACCACUAGGUUUUCAAGGCAAGAAGACUGUAUGAAGAUGUUUUCAGCUGGGGGAUGAGAUGGAAAUACUAUUGCAGCAGAGCCUACUGAUGCCUCAUGAGCUUCACCUGUAUGGCAGGACAAGAUGUUGAAUUCUCAGCUCCUCCUGCACCAUGCCUGCCUAGAUGCUGCCAUGCUCCCUCCUUGAUGAUAACUGACUGAACCUCUAAACCUGUAAAUCAGCCCUAGUUCCCGGAGCUCGUGUCUCUAGCUGCAUAUGUAUCAGAAGAUAGCCUAGUCAGCCAUCAGUGGAAAGAGAGGCCCAUGCCCUGUGCAGACACACAGAAUCUCUUGAAAGACCAGCGGGAUGAGCAGGCAUCAACAGAGAAUAUACCUGAGGACUGGGGGAGAAGCAGACAUCAACACACAGCAUGAUGGAGGCCUGGAGAAGACCCUCACUGGCGCACCACUGCU